GACGAACGCUGGCGGCGUGCUUAACACAUGCCAGUCGAACGGAAAGGCCCUGCUUUUGUGGGGUGCUCGAGUGGCGAACGGGUGAGUAACACGUGAGUAACCUGCCCUUGACUUUGGGAUAACUUCAGGAAACUGGGGCUAAUACCGGAUAGGAGCUCCUGCUGCAUGGUGGGGGUUGGAAAGUUUCGGCGGUUGGGGAUGGACUCGCGGCUUAUCAGCUUGUUGGUGAGGUAGUGGCUUACCAAGGCUUUGACGGGUAGCCGGCCUGAGAGGGUGACCGGCCACAUUGGGACUAAGAGACGGCGCAGACGCCUACGGGAGGCAGCAGGGGGGAGUAUUGCAGAAUGGGCGGAAGCCUGAGGCAGAAACGCCGGGUGCGGGAUGACGGCCUUCGGGUGGUAAACCGCUUUCGCCUGUGACGAAGCGGGAGUGACGGUAAUGGGUAAAGAAGCACCGGCUAACUACGUG
rnacentral:rRNA from 1 species